UAUCUGACUCAUUCUGUCAAAUCUUUCUCUGU
rnacentral:piRNA from 1 species